CACCACAAGCCAAGCGCCAGCGGAAUGUAACACGUUGUUCAGUUCACCUUCACCAGAGAGGCAGGACAGCGACCAAGAAGUGCAGUUAAGAAUGCUUCUUCAUGGUGAGAUGGAUAGAUUUGAUGACACAACUGUGUCACUCUUAAAAGGUUUUGGACGAGAUGGGCCGAAUUCUAGAGGCAGGCAACAAGAACUUCACUGACCAGAUCAAAGCCAGAUGGGAAAGCUUUUGCGAAAAUGCGCUGUUCUUUGGAGUGUGGAACAAGUCGUUGAAGCCACCAAUGGGUCUGGAUACAUCUGGACAAGCGAUUGCUUUGAUGAAGGCACUUCCCUCAAUGUUUCCUUCGCCAACUGCCCCACCCAAAAAGCUUGGGUCAGCAAGUGAGGCACUAUUCCAUGUUCUUGAGCCAUCCGAGGACCCCAAUACGUUUCUCCAGAAACG